UACGAAGGGUGCAAGCGUUACUCGGAAUUACUGGGCGUAAAGCGUGCGUAGGUGGUUUGUUAAGUCUGAUGUGAAAGCCCUGGGCUCAACCUGGGAAUUGCAUUGGAUACUGGCAGGCUAGAGUGCGGUAGAGGAUGGCGGAAUUCCCGGUGUAGCAGUGAAAUGCGUAGAGAUCGGGAGGAACAUCUGUGGCGAAGGCGACUUCUGGCCUGUUCUUGACGCUGAGGCGCGAAAGCU
rnacentral:rRNA from 1 species